rnacentral:rRNA from 1 species
CAAAAAAACGAAUCCUUUUGUAGCUCAUCAUUUAUUGGCAAAGAUAGAAAAGUCAAUAUGAAGGAGGAGAAAGAGACAAUAGUAACCUGGUCCCAGGCAUCUAGCAUUCUACCCACAAUGGUUGGCCAUACAAUCGCGAUUCAUCCCGUAGGCUAG